AAAUAAGAAGAAAGCAAAAGGCGUCUCCCAUUCCUUGUGAAGAUGUAUGAAAGAGAAAAAUGGGAUUGAAAUCCCUAGAGAAACCUUCUUCCUUCCUCCCUCCGGUGAAGGUUCUGGAAGUUAUGGAAGACGACUCAGUUCAGAGAAAUUCGCGGAGGAACCACGAGGCUUGCGAGGAGUGACCUUGUCUCGAAGCCAUUGAUUCCUUUGGAGAAACUGACGAAAGGAGUUGACGGUGAUGAAGGAAAUUUGUCCUUUUGGUUAAUACACAUUUUUUGUGGUCUCAUUUUUGUGAGUGUAUGAACUGUUGGUUUUCUUAGAUGUAAAUUGUAAUGUGUAUGUUAAUUGCAGAAUGAGAAACUUGUGCCUCAUGAGUGAGUAGGUGACUGAGGGGUUGAUGCUAGACAGGUUGGAGAAUGAAUGUUUGUUUAUGCUGAGUUGAGAAAAGAUGUUCAAGCAUGUUAGGGACAAUGUCAUAAGGGUAAGUUGUGAAGUUGCUACUUCAAGGAGUGGUCAUGGAUGAUCCGAAUGUUGGACUUGGCAGCGAGUGUGUUUUCAUUUGGUGAAUAUAGGACUUUUUGUUGGGUACGCAUAAUAGUAUAAUUCUCCUCACUUAUUUCCUUCACAAAAACCUCUUGGGUUAUCUGUGAUAUUUUUGCUACUGUUACCAUAUUUUCAUUCAUCAUGACUAUUGAUUUGUACCAUUCAAAGUAAAUUUGAGGGUUUUGGAAAUUGGGGAUAUCAAAGAUGAGUUUCACAUGUUCAAUUUUAAAAGAAGGAAUAAAGCUAGCCAAAAAUAAUAUGUAAAGUAAUUAAAGAGCCAAAUGCAUGUUUUUGUACUUAUUUGUAGUGGCAAAAUUGUAAUUUGUUAUAAUCAAAAG
rnacentral:lncRNA from 1 species